rnacentral:rRNA from 1 species
CCGAUGGCGACCGGCGCACGGGUGAGUAACACGUAUCCAACCUGCCGAUAACUCGGGGAUAGCCUUUCGAAAGAAAGAUUAAUAUCCGAUUAGGAUAUCAAGAUCGCAUGAUCUUGAUAUUAAAGAAUUUCGGUUAUCGAUGGGGAUGCGUUCCAUUAGUUAGUUGGCGGGGUAACGGCCCACCAAGACGACGAUGGAUAGGGGUUCUGAGAGGAAGGUCCCCCACAUUGGAACUGAGACACGGUCCAAACUCCUACGGGAGGCAGCAG